GAUGAACGCUAGCGGCAGGCCUAAUACAUGCAAGUCGGACGGGAUCCAUCGGAGAGCUUGCUCGAAGAUGGUGAGAGUGGCGCACGGGUGCGUAACGCGUGAGCAACCUACCUCUAUCAGGGGGAUAGCCUCUCGAAAGAGAGAUUAACACCGCAUAACAUCAACAGUUCGCAUGUCCGGUUGAUUAAAUAUUUAUAGGAUAGAGAUGGGCUCGCGUGACAUUAGCUAGUUGGUAGGGUAACGGCUUACCAAGGCGACGAUGUCUAGGGGCUCUGAGAGGAGAAUCCCCCACACUGGUACUGAGGCACGGACCAGACUCCUACGGGAGGCAGCAGUAAGGAAUAUUGGUCAAUGGGCGGAAGCCUGAACCAGCCAUGCCGCGUGCAGGACGACUGCCCUAUGGGUUGUAAACUGCUUUUGUCCAGGAAUAAACCUAAAUACGUGUAUUUAGCUGAAUGUACUGGAAGAAUAAGGAUCGGCUAACUCCGUGCCAGCCGCCGCGGUAAAAC
rnacentral:rRNA from 1 species